CCCAGAUCACGGACACAUGAAGACAAGACAAGACAGCGAUGGGCAGCGCUGGUGCUACUGCUGUAGAGCCGUGAAAGACGAACCUCUUUCCAUCUUUCCGCCUGUGACUGAGGAGUAUCUGCAGAUCUCAUCUCCAAACGAGCUUCUGCUAAUCCAACGGUGAGCAAAAACUACCGUCUACAUGUACAGACCCACUUCUGGUGAUCAUUUAAACUUGUAAAUAAUUAAUAUGUUUUUAAUUAACUAGUUUAAUCUGCACGCACUCUGUGAG
rnacentral:lncRNA from 1 species